UACGUAGGGUGCGAGCGUUUAAUCGGAAUUACUGGGCGUAAAGGGUGCGCAGGCGGUCUCGUAAGCUGGGUGUGAAAGCCCCGGGCUUAACCUGGGAAUGGCAUUCAGGACUGCGAGGCUUUGAGUGCGGCAGAGGGAGGUGGAAUUCCACGUGUAGCAGUGAAAUGCGUAGAGAUGUGGAGGAACACCGAUGGCGAAGGCAGCCUCCUGGGCCAGCACUGACGCUCAUGCACGAAAGCGUGGGGAGCAAACAGG
rnacentral:rRNA from 1 species